rnacentral:rRNA from 1 species
AGCGAACGCUGGCGGCAGGCCUAAUACAUGCAAGUCGAGCGGCUCUUCGGAGCAGUGGCGGACGGGUGAGUAACGCGUGGGGACGUGCCCUUUGGUCCGGAACAACUGAGGGAAACUGCAGCUAAUACCGGAUGUGCCCUUCGGCGGAACGAAUUAGCGCCAUUGGGGAGGCCCGCGUUGGAUUAGCUAGUUGGUGGGGGAAAGGCCCACCAAGGCUACGAUACAUAGCUGGUCUGAGAGGAUGAUCAGCCACCAUGGGACUGAGACACGGACCAGAGUGCUACGGGAGGCAGCAGUAGGGAAUCUUGCGCAAUGGGCGCAAGUCAGACGCAGACAUGCCGCGUGUAUGAAGAAGGUCUUAUGAUUGUAAAAUUCUUUUACCAGGGACGAUAAUGACGGUACCUGGAGAAAAAGCCCCGGCUAACUCCGUGCCAGCCGCCGCCGUAAGAC